rnacentral:lncRNA from 1 species
AGAAGUAGUGUACACACAAGUGUUGUAUUUUCUCUGCUUAGGGCCUUCCAUCCUGAAUUUCUCCUUCAGAGUGAUGCCAGGCUAGACUAAUCGAAAUUGGUCAACCUUAAUGUGAUAUCUAAUUGAUUUGAAAAGAGAAAAUAGAACGAAAAAGGACGGCAAUAGAAUCAAAUUUGUGGAAAGUAAUGUAAUAUCAUAGGUCGGAGUCAAAAAGAUACGGCUUUUUCAUUAAUAUUCUUCACAAAUGACAACCUUGUUUUUGCCUGCCAACUAGUCUUUGUAGAGAUGAAGAUAAUAAGUAUUGUUUGAAAUUAAUUGAACCGCAAGAGUAAAAGGAAGACACACACACACGCUAUACACAAUUCUCAUCAUUUCUUACCAUAUAUAUAAAUCAUUAAAGUCCCAUGUAAGAAUUGGACCACACCAUCAAUUUCACAAAGGGUUUCUAUUGAUGCAUGGUGUAUAUACGUGCUUGCCCUCCCGAUGAUCCACACCAAAGAAAAGGAAAACGCAAAGCACACACCCAUCUCUCUCUGGCUCUGUGACCCAUAUGGAAUAAGUACGUACUGAGGGGCUUGGCGAUGUUAAUUAUUGUGGUCAAUUCUUUUCUUCUUGUCUCACUUCUUGUGGCAGUAGUUUCCUCAAAUUGAUCCUUUAUUCCAUCGUGCCUUGAUCUAAAGUAUAUUUCAUCGUACUUUUUUCCACCUGAAAACCCCAUGCAAUAAUGUAAGAUAUAACUGGGGUAAACGGUGAGCAGUUAGGUAAUAUAUCAAUUUGGAAACAUAUCAUUUGUCUAGGUUCACUAGCUUAACAUGUCUAGUGUAUAUAGGUGAAGAAUAUUAAUAUUAAUUGCUUGCUUGCUCGAUUUCCUGCUCUCCUAAUUGUUACCUUGAAUCUGAUUGCUUGAUGAUGAUUCCGAAGAUCUAAAAGUGAUAGCAGUAGAUGAUGCAAAAGUAGGAUAAUCUAAAAUAUUCCACACAACAAAAAUCAAAAGCUAGGAUAUCUGCCAUGAUCAAAUGAAAAGGUGGGCAGGCUUUCUGGAUGAGGAACGAUGUUAAUAUAUAUUUUUAGUACCUACCUUAUGUAGCAGAUGGUGGUGUUCAAUUCAUGUAUGGGACAUGUGUGCCCUUAAUUAUAUAUCUAUGAAUAAUUUAUUAUAGCUCGAAGAGGACUUGGGAUGUUUGGGAUUGAGUUCAACUUUUUUUUCGUUAAAAUAAUUAUGUUUUACUGUUUUGUUAAUUGUUUUGAUGUAUUAGUAUCAAAAACAAAUUUUAAAAAAUAAAAAAAAAUAUUUUAAAAAUCAAUUUUUACCACACUCACAAACAUUCAUUAUAUCUAAUCUAACUGAGCAGCUAGAUACUGAUUUUUACGUGGCAAAUACAAGGGAACAUUAGGGCCAGCUUUUAUGGAAAAUUCCUUCAUUGAAAAGUUCAUGAUAGAGCCAUGUCUCCGCUUUACUGUUAUUUGAGUGUGCUUCGGUUGAGUCAUGGCCAAUCUCUCUUCUUAGACGUACGUGCACUAGUUCUGUUUGAAAUUUGAAUGGGUCAGCCAAGAUUAAUCAGAUUGUCUUAUUCGCAAAUAAUCAAGUUAAUUUCAAUCCUUUUGAAGGUCAAAUGUUACCAAAUUCAAAACCACAAUUAUUGUUUCAAAGGCCAAAAUGAACUAGAGCGCAUGAGAGAGGUCAAGCUCAAGGAAUUAAAACACACCACUUGGCUUUCUUUCCAAUCGUAAAACACACCAUUUGGGUUAGAUUGUCCUCGGUGCAGUCUCAUCUUCAUGGUGCCAAAAAGUUUCCACAGCUUCUUUUAUCAAGUCCCGCGCGCCACCUGAUAUUUCACUUGGACCAUGGUCCCAUAUAGUUCGAUGCCCUAGCUAUAUGUUCGUAGCUAGUUGCUCUACAUACAUGUGUUCCUGGUCAAAUAGUACGUAUCUCCUGUUUCUUGUGGUAAAUCUACUCUAAUUUUUUAAUAUUAUUGAUAGAUUUUAUGGAAGUAUUUUAAGAGGUCUACGUACCAAGUCUAUAUAUACACACACACACACACACACACAUAGCCGCCUUUAUAGUAGCGUUUUUUAAAUGAAAGAAAUUAAGUGAUGACAUGAGAAACCAAAAGUUUUGCUUAGCACGUCACAUGCUAGCUAUGAGAUACAUAGUCGUCGUAGUGCCUCAUCCAAUAUCAACAGAAUCGCCUCCAUAUGUAUUAGAUAGUGCCUCCUCCAAUAUCUCCCUCUGAUAUCCUUAUCUUGUGAAAAGCUCUCCACUAGACUUGAAGUUCCUUACAUCAAAUUAAUAUUGUAUUUAUUCUAAUAUUCC